rnacentral:rRNA from 1 species
UACGUAGGGGGCUAGCGUUGUCCGGAUUUAUUGGGCGUAAAGGGCGCGUAGGCGGGCUGCCAAGUCUGGGGUGAAAUCCCACGGCUCAACCGUGGAACUGCCUCAGAUACUGGCGGCCUCGAGGGAGGUAGGGGCAUGCGGAACUAUGCGUGGAGCGGUGAAAUGCGUUGAUAUGCAUAGGAACUCCGGUGGCGAAGGCGGCGUGCUGGACCUCUUCUGACGCUGAGGCGCGAAAGCCAGGGGAGCAAACGGG